rnacentral:rRNA from 1 species
AUGAGCUCGGCAUCGCCAUUCCCACCCCCCUCGCCGUCGAGCGCGAGCGUCCCGAUGGUGGUGAUCACCGUGGUGGGGAUACUCGCGGCGUUCGCGCUGCUGGCGGGCUACUACGCCUUCGUCACCCGGUGCCAGCCGCUCCGCGCGCUGCUCUCGCGCGGCGGCCCCACGACGUCGGUGAGCCCCGGCCCCUCCCCGCCGGCGGCGGCCGACGAGAAGCGGGGCCUCGGGCUGCCGCUCAUCCGCAUGCUCCCCGUCGUCCGGUUCACGGCGGCGGAGGACGCGGCGGCGCCGAGGAUCUCCGUGUCGGAGUGCGCCGUGUGCCUGAGCGAGUUCGCGGAGCGGGAGCGCGUGCGGCUGCUGCCCGGCUGCUCCCACGCCUUCCACAUCGACUGCAUCGACACCUGGCUGCAGGGCAGCGCCCGGUGCCCCUUCUGCCGGAGGGACGUCACCCUGCCGGCGCCGCACGCGCAAUACCAUCGGCCGCCGCCGCCCUUCCGCCGUCGGGACGAGCAGCUCCCGACCAGCGCCACCGGCGGCAACGACAACGGCGGGAGCAUCGUGAUCGAGGUGAGAGGGGAGCGCGAGACCUGGUCCGACGGCAGGAGGGGCCGGAAGAAGAAGGCGGAGAGCGUGGGCGACGAGGCGGUGGACACGAGGACGAAGAAAGGGGAGUUCGCGGCGGUGCAGCCGAUGCGGCGGUCGCUCUCCAUGGACUCGUGCGACGCCAAGCGGCGGCAGCUCUACCUGUCCGUCGUCCGGGAGUUCCUCGCGCAGAGCUAG